GACGAACGCUGGCGGCGCGCUUAACACAUGCAAGUCGAACGGAAAGGCCCUGCUUUUGUGGGGUGCUCGAGUGGCGAACGGGUGAGUAACACGUGAGUAACCUGCCCUUGACUUUGGGAUAACUUCAGGAAACUGGGGCUAAUACCGGAUAGGAGCCCCUGCUGCAUGGUGGGGGUUGGAAAGUUUCGGCGGUUGGGGAUGGACUCGCGGCUUAUCAGCUUGUUGGUGGGGUAGUGGCUUACCAAGGCUUUGACGGGUAGCCGGCCUGAGAGGGUGACCGGCCACAUUGGGACUGAGAUACGGCCUAGACUCCUACGGGAGGCAGCAGUGGGGAAUAUUGCACAAUGGGCGGAAGCCUGAUGCAGCAACGCCGCGUGCGGGAUGACGGCCUUCGGGUUGUAAACCGCUUUCGCCUGUGACGAAGCGUGAGUGACGGUAAUGGGUAAAGAAGCACCGGCUAACUACGUG
rnacentral:rRNA from 1 species